rnacentral:snRNA from 1 species
UGGGCCAGAUACGGCCUAGAAAAAUUGCAUCCGACAACGAUAUUUCACGCCAUCGGUGCGGGGUAUUGGGAGUAGUUUUCAACUAGCAAUAACCGCGCCUCAGAUAAACUUCAUUGGCUACGGUACCGCCACUGCGCAAAGU